rnacentral:lncRNA from 1 species
ACAGGCUGAACUCUGGUUCUGAGAGGAAAGGCACUCCAGGGUUUUGGAGUGGGCCACCUGAACUUGACCCUCAGGGCAGAUAUCCUAGAGUUCCAAGGAAGGCCCAGGCUGGGCCAAGAAGCCACCUCCAGAAUGCUGUUGUGGUGACACAGAGCACGCAGGAUCCCUGCUGGAUCAACUCAUUUCUCUGUGCAGAAGAUCAGCCACUGUUCAAGGAAUAUAGAGCCCCACUCAGGGCCAAGGAGAGGCUCCAGAAAAAUCACAAACACAAGAAUGUGUGUGAGGUACUGGAUAAAGCUGAGCAUGCUGUCCCAGGCAUGGGGCCUUCUCACCGGUUCUCUGAAGCCACCCCCUCCUUUAUGCCUUGAGGCUGCUUGCUGAUGCCAGGAGUAAAAGAAAUGACUCCUGCCCCUCUGUCUGUGUCUCUCUGUCUCUCUGUCUGUGUCCACCCUCCCCCCCCACCCCCCAAAUCUGUCUUCUCCUGGCAGCUGCAGAGAUUUAUAAUUUACCUGCCUUGUUGUUUCUCUCUUACACUCUAAUAAAACUCAAGCUUCCGUUUGA